AGCGAACGCUAGCGGCGGGCCUAACACAUGCAAGUCGAGCGCAUACCUUCGGGUAUGAGCGGCGGACGGGUGAGUAACGCGUAGGUCAUCUACCCUUUGGUGGGGGAUAACCCAGGGAAACUUGGGCUAAUACCGCACGAGGUCCACGGAUCAAAGCCUUCGGGCGCCAGAGGAUGAGCCUGCGUCGCAUUACCUAGUUGGCGGGGUAACGGCCCACCAAGGGGACGAUGCGUAGCUGGUCUGAGAGGAUGAUCAGCCACACUGGGACUGAGACACGGCCCAGACUCCUACGGGAGGCAGCAGUGGGGAAUAUUGCGCAAUGGGGGAAACCCUGACGCAGCCACGCCGCGUGGGUGAUGAAGGCCUUCGGGUUGUAAAGCCCUGUCGGGAGGGACGAAUUCUUGACGGUACCUCCAAAGAAAGCACCGGCUAACUCCGUGCCAGCAGCCGCGGUAAU
rnacentral:rRNA from 1 species